GUUGUCUCUACUACUGUAGGUCUCUGUGUGUUGUCUCUACUACUGUAGGUCUCUGUGUGUUGUCUCUACUACUGUAGGUCUCUAUGUGUUGUCUCUACUACUGUAGGUCUCUGUGUGUUGUCUCUACUGCUGUAGGUCUCUGUGUGUUGUCUCUACUACUGUAGGUCUCUGUGUGUUGUCUCUACUACUGUAGGUCUCUGUGUGUUGUCUCUACUACUGUAGGUCUCUAUGUGUUGUCUCUACUACUGUAGGUCUAUGUGUUGUCUCUACUACUGUAGGUCUCUGUGUUGUCUCUACUGCUGUAGGUCUCUGUGUGUUGUCUCUACUGCUGUAGGUCUCUGUGUGUUGUCUCUACUACUGUAGGUCUCUAUGUGUUGUCUCUACUACUGUAGGUCUCUAUGUGUUGUCUCUACUACUGUAGGUCUCUGUGUGUUGUCUCUACUACUGUAGGUCUCUAUGUGUUGUCUCUACUACUGUAGGUCUAUGUGUUGUCUCUACUACUGUAGGUCUAUGUGUUGUCUCUACUACUGUAGGUCUCUAUGUGUUGUCUCUACUACUGUAGGUCUCUAUGUGUUGUCUCUACUACUGUAGGUCUAUGUGUUGUCUCUACUGCUGUAGGUCUCUGUGUGUUGUCUCUACUACAGUAGGUCUCUGUGUUGUCUCUACUGCUGUAGGUCUCUGUGUGUUGUCUCUACUACUGUAGGUCUCUGUGUGUUGUCUCUACUACUGUAGGUCUCUGUGUGUUGUCUCUACUACUGUAGGUCUCUGUGUGUUGUCUCUA